rnacentral:rRNA from 1 species
AUUGAACGCUGGCGGCAGGCUUAACACAUGCAAGUCGAGCGAGCGGCGGACGGGUGAGUAAUGUCUGGGAAACUGCCUGAUGGAGGGGGAUAAAUACUGGAAACGGUAGCUAAUACCGCAAACCAUCAGAUGUGGCCAGAUGGGAUUAGCGAGUAGGUGGGGUAAUGGCUCACCUAGGCGACGAUCCCUCGCGGGUCUGAGAGGAUGACCGGCAACUCUGUAACUGAUACCAGGUCCGUCUUCCGACGGGUGCAGGCAGGGGGGAAUAUUGCACAUUGGGGUCAAGCCUGAUGCAGACAUGCCCGUUGUGUGUAGAAGGCCUUCGGGUUGUAAAGCCCUUUCAGCGAGGAGGCGUUACUCGCAUAAGAAGCACCGGCUAACUCCGUGCCAGCAGCCGCGGUAAUUC